CUACGGGCCGCAGCAGUGGGGAAUAUUGCACAAUGGAGGAAACUCUGAUGCAGCAACGCCGCGUGGAGGAUGACACAUUUCGGUGCGUAAACUCCUUUUAUAUGAGAAGAUAAUGACGGUAUCAUAUGAAUAAGCACCGGCUAACUCCGUGCCAGCAGCCGCGGUAAUACGGGGGGUGCAAGCGUUACUCGGAAUCACUGGGCGUAAAGAGCAUGUAGGCGGAUAGAAAAGUUGGAAGUGAAAUCCUGUGGCUUAACCAUAGAACUGCUUCCAAAACUCUCUAUCUAGAAUAUGGGAGAGGUAGAUGGAAUUUCUGGUGUAGGGGUAAAAUCCGUAGAGAUCAGAAGGAAUACCGAUUGCGAAGGCGAUCUACUGGAACAUUAUUGACGCUGAGAUGCGAAAGCGUGGGGAGCAAACAGGAUUAGAUACCCCGGUAGUC
rnacentral:rRNA from 1 species